AGCCUUCUGGCAUCAUACUGACACUGAGGUUCGAAAGCGUGGGUAGCAAACAGGAUUAGAUACCCUGGUAGUCCACGCCGUAAACGAUGUCUACUAGUCGUUGGGUCCCUUGAGGACUUAGUGACGCAGCUAACGCAAUAAGUAGACCGCCUGGGGAGUACGGCCGCAAGGUUAAAACUCAAAUGAAUUGACGGGGGCCCGCACAAGCGGUGGAGCAUGUGGUUUAAUUCGAUGCAACGCGAAGAACCUUACCUGGUCUUGACAUAUCUAGAAUCCUGCAGAGAUGCGGGAGUGCCUUCGGGAAUUAGAAUACAGGUGCUGCAUGGCUGUCGUCAGCUUGUGUCGUGAGAUGUUGGGUUAAGUCCCGCAACGAGCGCAACCCUUGUCCUUAGUUACCAGCGGUUUGGCCGGGAACUCUAAGGAUACUGCCAGUGACAAACUGGAGGAAGGCGGGGACGACGUCAAGUCAUCAUGGCCCUUACGACCAGGGCUACACACGUGCUACAAUGGUAGGUACAGAGGGCAGCUACACAGCGAUGUGAUGCGAAUCUCAAAAAGCCUAUCGUAGUCCAGAUUGGAGUCUGCAACUCGACUCCAUGAAGUAGGAAUCGCUAGUAAU
rnacentral:rRNA from 1 species